GACUACAGGGGUAUCUAAUCCUGUUUGCUCCCCACGCUUUCGUGCAUGAGCGUCAGUACAGGCCCAGGGGAUUGCCUUCGCCAUCGGUGUUCCUCCGCAUAUCUACGCAUUUCACUGCUACACGCGGAAUUCCAUCCCCCUCUGCCGUACUCCAGCCGUGCAGUCACAAGUGCAGUUCCCAGGUUAAGCCCGGGGAUUUCACACCUGUCUUGCACAACCGCCUGCGCACGCUUUACGCCCAGUAAUUCCGAUUAACGCUUGCACCCUACGUAUUACCGCGGCUGCUGGCACGUAGUUAGCCGGUGCUUAUUCUUCAGGUACCGUCAUCCUCCCGAGGUAUUAACCCAGAAGAUUUCUUCCCUGACAAAAGCGGUUUACAACCCGAAGGCCUUCUUCCCGCACGCGGCAUGGCUGGAUCAGGCUUGCGCCCAUUGUCCAAAAUUCCCCACUGCAGCCUCCCGUAGG
rnacentral:rRNA from 1 species